GAUGAGCCAAUCAGCGGCCUUGUUGUUGGUCUGCCCGGAAACAGCGGCCGCCAUGUUGAGUUGUAGUUUGCGGUGGAAAGUGUCUGAGAGAGGAAGAGAAGUCCAUCUGCUGUGUGUUGUGGAAAUAAGUUUGCAGCCAUAAGUGCAGCCGUCCGUGCGUGUGCGCGUCCAGGAGCAUCUCCAGCUCCAGUCCGAGCUGCCAAGCCCUCAUCACAGAGAUCCAUGGACAACCAGUGAGUGAGUGCAGCUGAUGAAGCUGUGAUGAAGCUGUGAUGAAGCUGUGAUGAAGAUGUGGUGAAGCUGUGAUGAAGAUGUGAUGAAGCUGUGAUGAAGAGAUGUCUGGGCUGUUUGGAAGAGGCAGAGCAGAGUCUGAGGAGGAAACGUCACCAUCAGCAGAGGAGAACAAACGGCAUGAGAAGCUGCUGGACGCUGUUUUAGAAGCUGAAGAGCAGAUUGACCCAGCAGUGAUGCCUCAGCAGCUGCUGGUGUGUAAAGAAGAGGUUCCCCCUGAGCAGCAGGAGUGC